AAAUAGUUUUAUGUCAUAAACAUCCAAUAUUUGAAGAUUUCUUAAGGGUACUCUUUCAUGUGUAUAUUGAAGGUUAUUCAGCUGGCAGGAAAAUAUUCCAGGGACAAUUGUUGCAUACUUUAUUCUGUUGAGGAUAAAGAAUUAAAAAUAAAAGUCAGGCAUUCCAAAGAGUAGCUGUAGGAGGCUGUGCGCUGGAACAUCGCUCUAGUGUGCUGCUUUGUUCAUAAGAAAAAAUGAAGGCACACGCAUAUGUACUUAGUUCACUUCUUUUUGCUCUUUAUGUCUAAUCAGAUUUGCUCUGUCCCCAAGAAAAAUAAAAGACAAACUUUGCUGACUCCACUGACAAGGGCACCAUAGACUUUCCAGACAUCUGACAGUUAUUAUAAUUAGCUAUGAAAGACUGCAAAGACACUUGGGGGCAAAUAGCUCUUAAAUUCUGAACAAUGGCUUCAAGCCAGGGCUUUAUAUGUUUUUUUAACCACCACUUUUAAUUUUAUAAUAAGGAUAGAGACUGAACUGGUUUCGGUGUUGUAGUCCACACAAUGUGAAAUAAAGUCCCAGCAGAAGUGAAGGCGACUGAAAGUGGCCAGUGUAAAGACAGAAGGAAAAGACAGCUUUCUGUCUUAGGAUCUAGCCUUCCAUGUAUAAAGAUUUUUUUUUUUUUUGAAAUUCCUAAUAGGGUGGAGUGAGGAUGUGGGGGUGGGGAGGAAGCAUGCGGAAGCUUCUUUAUAGAAGAAUGCUUGAAGAAUAAAAUAAUUUGGCAUUUCUUCUUUCUAGCAAGCAA
rnacentral:lncRNA from 1 species